ACCUAGCCCCGAUAGAAGUGAAAAUCCUUUUAUGCCGGUCCCGAUAGCUAUCGGGAGGCAUAAAAGAUUGCAACGGAUAGCGGGACUUCAC
rnacentral:sRNA from 1 species